GAGGCUGCUGCCAGUGGUCAAAGCCUCCAACAAAGCUCUACUGAGCAGCUGUAACCUCUCAGAGAGGAGCUGUGAAGAGCUGCUGUCAGUUCUCAGCUCCCAGUCCUGUAGUCUGAGAGAGCUGGACCUGAGUACCAACAGCCUGCAGGAGCCAGGAGUGAAAAAGCUGUUUGCUGCAGUGGAGAGUCCACACUGCAAACUGAGCAGUCUCAGACUGAGUAUCUGUAACCUCUCAGAGAGAAGCUGUGAAGCUCUGUCGUCAGUUCUCAGCUCCCAGUCCUCUAGUCUGAGAGAGCUUGACCUGAGUAACAACAACCUGCAGGAUUCAGGACUGAAGCUUCUAUCUGCUGGACUCCAGAGUCUCACCUGUAAACUGAAUAU